GGUGGUAUAGCCAAGAAAGGUAAGGCAAAGAACUGCAAAUUCUUGAUCCUCAGUUCAAAUCUGAGUACCAUCU
rnacentral:tRNA from 1 species